UUAUGAAGCUUCUAACUGAUA
ensembl:piRNA 21ur-5001 ncRNA